ensembl:lncRNA
UCUCUAGUUGGAGAUCCCCCCCCUUGUUGAGUCUUUUCUGUGAGCCUGGAUCUUCAGAGUGAAUCUGAAAGAAACGUUUCUCCUUGAUCUGUCAGUUGCUCCUCACCCAGGAAUCCUGGUGUAGGUGAAAACUGAGCUGCUUCAUUGUGGGAGCGAGGAUGUUAAGUUCUCAGGCAUACAGUGUUGCAGCUGCUAGCAGUCCCUGAUCUGAUGCUACCAUAGUACAGUGAGCUGUUUAAUUCUCCUGGACGUUUUCCUACAGCAACUCUCUGUAAAAAUUUGUUUUGCUGAGGGCAAUUCAUGUCAUCUAAUGAAGAAUUGAAACAGGAAGUCUUAUUUAAGGAUAAAUUCUGAUAUUUUCUCAUCACUGAAGUAAGGGAGUCUGUUAAAGACACUGGUAUUCCUCUUCAGGUCUGCUCCUCUCUGAACUAGGCCCAUGAAGGAAAGAGUUUGUACAACACCCUCUAACAACUCAUCAGUUGCACAGAGACUUUUUUCUUCAAUUUCUCUGCCUGAACAUGAAUUUUCACUUGUAUCCAUUUUUGGGUUUAUCUUUCUCCUUGGAAUAUUCAAUGGUUCUUAGGGGAAUUAUCUUUAGGAAGCUGAGGCCACUGUUGUUAAUUACCCUAACCAGAUGCCUACUGUGUAUCUUGAUUACCCAUCUAGACUUUUGUUUAUAGUUAGUGAAAAUAUACAAAUGUUUCCAAGCAUUUCCAAGCAUUAUGCAGCUCACCCUAAACUUACAGCUGUUACAUCUCUGAUGGGAGAUACUUUGGUCAGGGGGUCAUCUGAUAUCAGAAGCGUAUAUCCUCCUUCAUGGAUCUGUAGCUAAUUUGAAUCCUGACCCAUAUGUAGCUUAAAGCUGUUUGUUUCAUUCUGUCAUAGGGUAAACAAAAUCAAGCAAUGAAUUCUCUUAAAUCUUGUUUUCAUUCCAUUUCUUAAGUCAUGUGAUGAGUACUAACAAGAUUUAUUGAGCUUCAUGCAUGCCAGUGCUUGUCAGGGGCUUUGUGAAGAACUGCCUGAUCAUACUGUUUUACAGAAACUCAGACCAGGAACGUCAGGAAAGCAUGAUUCUGACUCUCCAGUCUAUAGAUAAAAUAUAGCUCAUGUGGCACAGCUUUCCUUGCUUACAACCCAAGCUUCUGAAAUAAGGCAAUUAUCAGGAGCUCUUUUUUUCUUUUAAUUAACAGAAUGUACACAUACCUACUUCUUGCUUUGGCAAUUAUAAAGAAAGGCUUGAAAAUGUGAGCUACUUGAGCCUGAAGGCAGCUGAAAUGCAGCUUUGAGAUGUGCAGCAGGUUUCCCAGGGAAGAUGGUGAAUACAGGGGCUUUUCCUAUAUUCUGUAAGUGCAACU